CGGGCACAUCACAUUGAAACACCGAUUCUCGUACGAUCCCCGAAGUUAAGCAACGUCGAGCCUAGUCAGUACCUAGAUGGUUGACCGCUUAGAAUUACCAGGUACUGUAAG